rnacentral:rRNA from 1 species
GAGCUGUGGUUAGGGGUGAAAUGCCAAUCGAACUCGGAGCUAGCUGGUUCUCCCCGAAAUGCGUUGAGGCGCAGCGGUUGACGAGGAACCUCGUUUGAGGCCAUGAGCUGUCUAGGGGUAAAGCACUGUAUCGGUGCGGGCUGCGAGAGCGGUACCAAAUCGUAGCAAACUAAGAAUACUAGGCAUGUCUUUCCGUCAACCAGUGAGACGGUGGGGGAUAAGCUCCAUCGUCAAGAGGGAAACAGCCCAGAUCACCAGCUAAGGCCCCUGAAUGAUCGCUAAGUGGAAAAGGAGGUGAGAAUGCCGAAACAGCCAGAAGGUUUGCUUAGAAGCAGCCAUCCUUUAAAGAGUGCGUAAUAGCUCACUGGUGGAGCGUUCUUGCGCCGAAAAUUUACGGGACUAAGCGAUCUGCCGAAGCUGUGGGAUACCAGCAGAAGGAGCUGGUAUCGGUAGGGGAGCGUUCCGCCUUAGGGUGAAGCAUUGGUGUAAACUGGUGUGGACGAAGCGGAAGUGAGAAUGUCGGCUUGAGUAACGCAAACAUUGGUGAGAAUCCAAUGCCCCGAAAACCUAAGGGUUCCUUCACUAGGUUCGUCCAUGGAGGGUUAGUCGGGUCCUAAGGCUAGGCCGAAAGGCGUCGUCGAUGGGAAACAGGUUAACAUUCCUGUACUUCUUCUUGGUUGGCACCGAGGGACGAAGGAGGCACGAGGUGACCAAAAUUGGAUUUUGGUGGAAAUGGCUGAGGCUAUGAGAGAUAGAAGAGAAACUAUUCUUGAGCUGAAUCAUGACACGGCACCAUUGUUAGCUGCAACCUUCGGGGAGUGGCUUUAUGGGGUUCACUUCUCUCUGUCAAACUUCCUAGAAAAGCUCGAACUGCUGCAAUACCAAGAUGAACCCGUACCCGAAACCGACACAGGUAGGUGGGUAGAGAAUACCUAGGGGCGCGAGACAACUCUCUCUAAGGAACUCGGCAAAAUGGCCCCGUAACUUCGGGAGAAGGGGUGCCCCCGCAAGGGGGCCGCAGUGACCAGGCCCAGGCGACUGUUUACCAAAAACACAGGUCUCCGCUACGUCGCAAGACAAGAUAUGGGGGCUGACGCCUGCCCGGUGCCGGAAGGUGAAGGAAGUUGGUUAUUCCUCGGAAGAAGCUGGCGACCGAAGCCCCGGUGAACGGCGGCCGUAACUAUGACGGUCCUAAGGUAGCGAAAUUCCUUGUCGGGUAAGUUCCGACCCGCACGAAAGGCGUAACGAUCUGGGCACUGUCUCAGAGAGAGACUCGGUGAAAUAGACAUGUCCGUGAAGAUGCGGACUUCCUACACCUGGACAGAAAGACCCUAUGAAGCUUUACUGUAACCUGGAAUUGGGUUUGGGCCCCUUUUGCGCAGCCUAGGUGGGAGGCUAUGAAGGCUCUCUUCCGGGAGAGCCGGAGCCAUCAGUGAGAGACCACUCUGGAGGGGCUAGAAUUCUAAUGGUGCUCCUUGAAACAGGACACUUGACAGUUUCAGGUGGGCAGUUUGACUGGGGCGGUCACCUCCUAAAAGGUAACGGAGGUGUGCAAAGGUUCCCUCAGGCUGGACGGAAAUCAGCCGUAGAGUGUAAAGGCAUAAGGGAGCUUGACUGCAAGACCUACAAGUCGAGCAGGGGCGAAAGCCGGCCUUAGUGAUCCGACGGUGCCGAGUGGAAGGGCCGUCGCUCAACGGAUAAAAGUUACUCUAGGGAUAACAGGCUGAUCUUCCCCAAGAGUUCACAUCGACGGGAAGGUUUGGCACCUCGAUGUCGGCUCAUCGCAACCUGGGGCGGUAGUACGUCCCAAGGGUUGGGCUGUUCGCCCAUGAAAGCGGUACGUGAGCUGGGUUCAGAACGUCGUGAGACAGUUCG